CCCCAGUGGCUCAGCAGUAGAGAAUCUGCCUGCAGUGCAGAAGAUGCAGGUUCAAUCCCUGGACUGGGGA
rnacentral:tRNA from 1 species